rnacentral:rRNA from 1 species
AGUGGCAGACGGGUGAGUAACGCGUGGGAAUUUACCGAUUGGUACGGAACAACUCAGAGAAAUUUGGGCUAAUACCGUAUGCGCCCCUUCGGGGGGAAAGAUUUAUCGCCGAUCGAUGAGCCCGCGUUGGAUUAGCUAGAUGGUGAGGUAAGAGCUUACCAUGGCGACGAUCCAUAGCUGGUCUGAGAGGAUGAUCAGCCACACUGGGACUGAGACACGGCCCAGACUCCUACGGGAGGCAGCAGUGGGGAAUAUUGGACAAUGGGGGCAACCCUGAUCCAGCCAUGCCGCGUGAGUGAUGAAGGCCCUAGGGUUGUAAGGCUCUUUCAGUCAUGAGGAUAAUGACGUUAAUGACAGAAGAAGCCCCGGCUAACUUCGUGCCAGCAGCCGCGGUAAUACGAAGGGGGCUAGCGU